rnacentral:tRNA from 1 species
GGAGUCGUGGUGUAGUGGUUAACAUGCUACCCUGUCAAGGUAGAGAUCGCGGGUUCGAUCCCCGUCGGCUCCG